AUUCCAGCUCCAAUAGCGUAUAUUAAAGUUGUUGCAGUUAAAAAGCUCGUAGUUGGAUUUCUGGUUGAAGCGACCGGUCGGGCGUUUAUUCGUCUGCACUGGAGUCGGUUUUGGCCAUCCUCUAGGAAAGUGCGUCUGGUAUUAAGUUGUCGGGCGUAUGAUCCUGGUCUUUUACUGUGAAAAAAUUGGAGUGUUUAAAGCAGGCCUUCGCCUUGAAUACAUUAGCAUGGAAUAAUAAGAUAGGACUUUGGUCUAUUUUGUUGGUUUGCAGACCGAAGUAAUGAUUAAUAGGGAUAGUUGGGGGUAUUUAUAUUCCGAUGUCAGGGGUGAAAUUCUUAGAUUUUCGGAAGAUAAACUUAUGCGAAAGCAUUUACCAAGGAUGUUUUCAUUA
rnacentral:rRNA from 1 species